rnacentral:rRNA from 1 species
UGGGGAAUAUUGCACAAUGGGCGCAAGCCUGAUGCAGCCAUGCCGCGUGUAUGAAGUAGGCCUUCGGGUUGUAAAGUACUUUCAGCGAGGAGGAAGGCGUUGUGGUUAAUAACCGCAGCGAUUGACGUUACUCGCAGAAGAAGCACCGGCUAACUCCGUGCCAGCAGCCGCGGUAAUACGGAGGGUGCAAGCGGUAAUCGGAAUUACUGGGUGUAAAGCGCACGCAGGCGGUCUGUCAAGUCGGAGGUGAAAUCCCCGGGCUCAACCUGGGAACUGCAGCCGAAACUGGCAGGCUAGAGUCUUGUAGAGGGGGGUAGAAUUCCAGGUGUAGCGGUGAAAUGCGUAGAGAUCUGGAGGAAUACCGGUGGCGAAGGCGGCCCCCUGGACAAAGACUGACGCUCAGGUGCGAAAGCGUGGGGAGCAAACA